GACAGCAGUCGCCGCGGUAACACGGAGGAUCCAAGCGUUAUCCGGAAUCAUUGGGUUUAAAGGGUCCGUAGGCGGUCUUGUAAGUCAGUGGUGAAAGCCCAUCGCUCAACGGUGGAACGGCCAUUGAUACUGCAGGACUUGAAUUAUUGGGAAGUAACUAGAAUAUGUAGUGUAGCGGUGAAAUGCUUAGAGAUUACAUGGAAUACCAAUUGCGAAGGCAGGUUACUACCAAUUGAUUGACGCUGAUGGACGAAAGCGUGGGUAGCGAACAGGAUUAGAUACCCCAGUAGUCCCUGUCUCUUAUAC
rnacentral:rRNA from 1 species